UGGCGCCCAGGCAGCCGGCGCCCUAGGCCUGAGCGGCCAGGCACUAGGCGCCCAGGUGGACGGCCACGCGGCAGGCGGCAACAACCGAAACUUGUCAGCUCGUCGUGCCUGUGGUUCAGCAACGAAGAAGGAUGACGACACGGCUAUGAGGAGGUGGUGGAAGAUUUUUUUCAGCGGACAGGAAUCUGACCAAGCAAGCGGUAAUUGAAGAACAAAUGAGAUAAGUUGAAACCUGAUUAUAUGGCAUGAAAAAAUUUGAUGAGGAAGCAAACUAGUACGGGGUGGGAUAGAUCGUCUAGCGGCGUCAUUGGUAUGGAUAAUGAAUGGUGGAAGAAAGCAAGCAGGAUAUUCCAGGAUCUGGCAAAUUUAGGAAGAAACCAUUACAAAAUAAGGACGACUUGAGAAUUAUGUUUAGCGACAUCACAAAUAUGAAUCAGAUCAUUGGAAUCCUAUAAGUUCUAACCCCAUUAUCCCACCAAAUGAAGAGUCUCCCUUCAAUGCUGCCACAUGCGCUCAGGUUUUUUACGUAGGCUAUGAUGACAUUGUUACUGGUGGUGGGCAUGAUAAUGCCAAUGAGGUUGAGGAGGUUUCUCCAUCUCCUUCCUUGGUUGGUAUAAAGAGAAGAGCUAACAUCAUCAUGGAUAAAUUGAAGAAACCAAAAACAGGAACAGCACUAUUCAUUCAAAAGCAAGUAACAAAAUUAGCUGAGAUGGUAUCUACAUUUGCAUCAAGGAAGCUAUCUGAAGUUACUAUCAACGAAGUUAUGGAGCAUGUUUUGAUUGCGGGGCGGGUUAUGAUACUAAUGAGCAUUACAUUGCCACCGAGUUAUUUGUGAAGGACCGGAGAGAAAUGUUCAGGACCGUUCUCGUCCAACGCUUUGCCUAGAACCCAGUAUUCACCUAGUCGUCCAUUGCCUUGUAGGCAGGCAGGCGAGU